UACGUAGGGGGCAAGCGUUACUCGGAAUUACUAGGCGUAAAGGGCUGGUAGGUGGUUUGGUAAGUCUGUUGUGAAAGCUCCUGGCUUAACUGGGAGAGGUCAACGGAUACUGCCGGACUUGAGUCCGGGAGAGGUGAGUGGAACUCCGAGUGUAGAGGUGAAAUUCGUAGAUAUUCGGAAGAACACCAGUGGCGAAGGCGGCUCACUGGCCCGGUACUGACGCUGAGAUACGAAAGCGUGGGGAGCAAACAGG
rnacentral:rRNA from 1 species